rnacentral:lncRNA from 1 species
GCUGCCGUGUCUGGUGGGGGGCCUGAGAGUGGCAGGACAAGCAGCCUGCCCCAGAAGUGGAAGAAACUGAAAGUGGAGUCCUGAGAGCUGAAUCUGCCGCAGGCCCGCGGGCCGCCCGGGAAUUAGGAAAGUUAGAGGGGAUCCACGCCCACAAGUGCUAUGGACUCUGAUCGCCCAACCAGAGCAAACCCAGAAGGACAACUCUCCAAGCCUUUCAAUCACUCCCACUAACCCGUAUUGUGGACACACUAUUGUGAGGCCUACUAAGGAUGUACUGCUGAUGACCUUUUGAAGAGUGGCUAGUGGUUGGCCCAUGUAGGCUGAGCUCAGCUGGUCCAUCCUUCUUGGACCCACAGACUCCCUGGGGCAUGUUCUUCUCAUGAUGAUGACUGCAACACAAGAGGGCAAGACAUCCUACACAAGCACAUUUCAAGAUUUUGCUCACAUCAUCUCUGCUAAAAUUCCUUUAUCCAAAGCAAGGAACACAACUGGUUCAAAUAAGCACAGGCCUCCAAAUAUCCAGAUCUAAAAAUGGAGUGUUCACCUCAAGCUCCUUAUUUAUCACUGCAAGAGAUUCUGGGGCUGGCAGCUAGUGACAUGAGCUGGAAUCCUCUUCCUGAAAUUGCUGUCUUCUUGGAUGGGCUCUCCACAUCUUCCACCACGAAGUAAAAACAAUUCUUGUGGGUGCCAGUGGACCUGCUCUGCAGACCCAGGCUCCUCUCCCAUGGAGCAUCCCAAGUCUGUCCUUAUGGGAAGAAGCAGGAGCCCUGUCUGGCUGUACCCCAAGCUGCUUUCUCUGGACCAAUGCUGUCAGCGAUAGAGCAAACAAGCCAAACAGCAGCUUGAAAAAUGCUUUCUACUUGGACAUACCCUCUUGCUACAGGGAACCCUUCCACCAUCAUGUGAAGAAGCCUGGUCUAGCCUGCUGGAGGAUGAGAGAUCACAUGGAAUGAGGCCACAAUCGUUCCAGCCAAAGCCCCAGUAAUAGAAUUAAGAUCAUCCAAGACCAUGGCAUCCCGCCUGAGAAGUUCAGAUGAGAAGGGCCACCUGAACAACCAACAGAAUCUUAAAAAGUAAAAAAUGAGUGUUGCCACUAUGCAUCUAUUAGAAUGGCAGAAAUCGAAGACACUGACAACAACAAAUGCUGGUGAGGAUGUGGAGCAACAGGAACUCUCACUCACUGAAGAUGGAAAUGCAAAAUAGUGCAGCUACUUUGGAAAACAGCUACUUUGGCUGUUUCUUACAACACUAAAUAUGCUAUUAUUAUAUGAUCCAGAAGUUUUGCUCCUUAGCACUUACCCAAAAAA